UACGGAGGUGGCAAGCGUUGCUCGGAAUCACUGGGCGUAAAGGGCGCGUAGGCGGGGAGGUAAGUCGGGUGUGAAAUCCCUCGGCCCAACCGAGGAACUGCGCCCGAGACUGCUUCUCUUGAGUCCCGGAGAGGAAGAUGGAAUUCCCGGUGUAGCGGUGAAAUGUGUAGAGAUCGGGAGGAACACCGGUGGCGAAGGCGGUCUUCUGGACGGUGACUGACGCUGAGGCGCGAAAGCUAGGGGAGCGAACAGG
rnacentral:rRNA from 1 species